rnacentral:rRNA from 1 species
AUGGGAGAGAGUCAUUCAGCACCGCUUAAGAAGAAAGACAAGCAUGACCAAAAAUCAGUUUGGUUUCAUGCCUGGGAGGUCGACCAUGGAAGCCUUUUCUUGGUACGACAACUUAUGGAGAGAUACAGGGAGCAAAAGAAGGACCUUCAUAUGGUGUUCAUUGACCUGGAGAAGUCCUAUGAUAAGAUACCGCGGAAUGUCCCAUGGUGGGCCUUGGAGAAACACAAAGUCCUAGCAAAGUACAUUACCCUCAUCAAGGACAUGUACGAUAAUAUUGUGACAAGUGUUCGAACAAGUGAUGUCGACACUGGUGACAUCCCGAUUAAGAUAGGACUGUAUCAGGGUCAGCUUUGA